rnacentral:rRNA from 1 species
CAAUAGCGUAUAUUAAAGUUGUUGCGGUUAAAAAGCUCGUAGUUGGAUUUCUGUCGAAGACGGCCGGUCCGCUCUAUGAGCGUGUAUCUGGUUCGGCUUUGGCAUCCUCGUGGGGAACGUAACUGUGCUUGAUUGCAUGGUACGGUAUUCACGACUUUUACUUUGAGGAAAUUAGAGUGUUCACGGCAGGCAAGCGCCUUGAAUACAUUAGCAUGGAAUAAUAAUAUAGGACUUUGGUUUUAUUUUUGUUUGGUUUCUUAGAACUAAAGUAAAUAGAUUAAUAGGGAUAAUUAGGGGGUCGAUUUGUUAUUAACGACGUCAGAGGUGGAAGUUCUUGGAUUGCGUUACG